rnacentral:rRNA from 1 species
UACGAAGGGGGCUAGCGUUGCUCGGAUUGACUGGGCGUAAAGGGCUCGUAGGCGGCCAACUAAGUCAGACGUGAAAUCCCUCGGCUUAACCGGGGAACUGCGUCUGAUACUGGAUGGCUUGAGUUUGGGAGAGGGAUGCGGAAUUCCAGGUGUAGCGGUGAAAUGCGUAGAUAUCUGGAGGAACACCGGUGGCGAAGGCGGCAUCCUGGACCAACACUGACGCUGAGUGAGCGAAAGCCAGGGGAGCAAACGGG